rnacentral:rRNA from 1 species
AUGAAGGAUCUAGGAGUAGCUGAUGUUAUCUUAAACAUCAAGCUGUUGAGAGAUGAGAAUGGUGGGAUCACACUGCUUCAGUCUCACUAUGUGGAAAAGGUCUUGAGUCGUUUUGGGUAUAGCGACUGCACACCUUCUCCAACUCCAUGUGAUGCUAGUGUGUUGCUUCGAAAGAAUCAAAGGAUUGCUAGAGAUCAAUUGAGGUAUUAUCAGAUUAUUGGCUCGCUUAUGUAUUUGGCGAGUGCCACGAGGCCUGACAUCUCUUUUGCUGUGAGCAAGCUGAGUCGGUUUGUGACAAAACCGGGAGAUGAUCAUUGGCAUGCGCUUGAGAGAGUUAUGCGCUAUUUGAAAGGCACCGCGAGCUAUGGGAUUCACUACACCGGGUAUCCAAGAGUACUGGAGGGUUACAGUGGCUCAAACUGGAUUUCUGAUGCUGAUGAGAUAAAGGCCACAAGUGGUUAUGUUUUUACACUUGGUGGUGGCGCUGUUUCCUGGAAGUCUUGCAAGCAGACCAUCUUAACGAGGUCAACUAUGGAAGCAGAACUCACAGCAUUGGACACUGCCAUUGUUGAAGCAGAGUGGCUUCGUGAACUCUUGAUGGACUUACCUAUGGUUGAAAAACUAAUACCCCCUAUCCUGAUGAACUGUGAUAAUCAAACUGUGGUCGUCAAGAUAAACAGUUCGAAGGACAAUAUGAAGUCCUCAAGACAUGUGAAGAGGAGACUAAAAUCUGUCAGAAAAUUGAGGAACUCCAGAGUUAUUACGUUGGAUUAUAUCCAAACGUCGAAAAACUUGGCAGAUCCCUUCACAAAGGGUCUAUCACGUAAUGUGAUAGAUAAUGCAUCGAUGGAGAUGGGUUUGAGACCCACCGCAUGA